AAGUUUGCUUGGCUAGCAAAGUUCGACUAGGGACUUGGGCUACAUAGAAAUUUUUCUAAUUCCCUAACACUCUCCCCCACCUAUCGUGCAGACGUCCUAAUCAUGUGCAUAUCCUUGCUCGCAGUCCGUCGUGCCUUCACGCCCACGCGGCCCCGAGCCUUGCUACCAUAGUCCGCCUAUGCUUCCACACCAACUCUUAGUGCCAUGCCUCUCUGAGCACGAAGACUAGCUUGCUUGCUGUGUGGAGAAGUUUAUUAUUAAGCCAGAUGUCACACCUUGAGGCCCUAUUUGUAGACCUUCUUAAGAAAAAGCUGUCGGCCAUUUGAAAAUUAGAGUUUGCGAAAAAUAUCUUUUUUUUAAAAAUCCUGCCUUGUCCAUGGAGUGCAUAGAUCUGUCAGAAAUACAAAGAUUUCUCUGUUCACGCGGAUAGAAUCUCUCCUAUAUUUGCAUGGCGUAUAAGCCUUUACAAUGCCAUACAACUCACAAUCUAGACUCACACCAACUAGCACACAUAUAAACAUAUGCAUAUGCACAUACAGCUAAUCAAUCCUUAU
rnacentral:lncRNA from 1 species